UAAUGACUAGUUCUCUAUGUUCCAAGC
rnacentral:piRNA from 1 species